rnacentral:lncRNA from 1 species
GAUGACACAUCCACUCUGCCAUACAACUCAGACCAAGAAGGUGCAAAGCUUAUCUAAACGCUCUGCCCAGAGUGCUUUACUGGAAGAAGAUAUGGCUGCCAACCAGAAGCCUGGAUUCUAGAACAUUCUGUACUCCAGUCUCAUCUAGGGGAUCAUUCAAGUCUCUGAAGGCCUGCUCCCUCCUCCAGCCCAGAGGGAGUAGAAGUAGGCAGAAGUGAUCCUGGAGCUUCAGUCCCUGCCAAGCUGGGAUGUUACUGUGGAAAGAAGGCCCUCUCCCUGGAGGCUCUGUGAUCAGAACCCAGGCUUUUUCUCCAGUCACUUCCAGGU